UACAGAGGUCUCAAGCGUUGUUCGGAUUCAUUGGGCGUAAAGGGUGUGUAGGUGGCGCGCUAAGUCGGUUUUGAAAUUUCGGAGCUUAACUCCGAAACUGCAUUCGAUACUGGCGUGCUUGAGGACUGGAGAGGAGACUGGAAUUCAUGGUGUAGCAGUGAAAUGCGUAGAGAUCAUGAGGAAGACCAGUGGCGAAGGCGGGUCUCUGGACAGUUCCUGACACUGAGACACGAAGGCCAGGGGAGCAAACGGG
rnacentral:rRNA from 1 species